AUACGUAGGGGGCAAGCGUUGUCCGGAAUUACUGGGCGUAAAGGGUGCGUAGGCGGCCAAACAAGUCAGAUGUGAAAUACCCGGGCUUAACUCGGGGGGUGCAUUUGAAACCGUAUGGCUUGAGUGUAGGAGAGGAAAGCGGAAUUCCUAGUGUAGCGGUGAAAUGCAUAGAUAUUAGGAGGAACACCAGUGGCGAAGGCGGCUUACUGGACUACAACUGACGCUGAGGCACGAAAGCGUGGGGAGCAAACAGGAUUAGAUCCCCUGGUAGUCCACGCUGUAAACGAUGGAUACUAGGUGUAGGGGGUAUCGAACCCCCCUGUGCCGGAGCUAACGCAAUAAGUAUCCCGCCUGGGGAGUACGGCCGCAAGGUUGA
rnacentral:rRNA from 1 species